rnacentral:rRNA from 1 species
AAUGAACGCUGGCGGUAUGCCUAACACAUGCAAGUCGAACGGUAAGGUCUCUUUCGGGAGAUACACGAGUGGCGCACGGGUGAGUAACACGUAAGGAACCUACCUUUAACACUGGGAUAACCAUUGGAAACGAUGGCUAAUACCGGAUAAUACUUAAUAUCUUAAGAUAUUAAGUCAAAGGAGCGAUCUGGUUUUAGAUGGUCUUGCGUAUCAUUAGAUAGUUGGUGGGGUAAUGGCCUACCAAGUCAAAGAUGAUUAGCUGGUUUGAGAGGAUGAUCAGCCACACUGGAACUGAGACACGGUCCAGACUCCUACGGGAGGCAGCAGUGAGGAAUAUUGCGCAAUGGGGGGAACCCUGACGCAGCAAUACCGCGUGAGUGAAUAAUGUACUUAGUAUUGUAAAGCUCUGUGGAUGGUCAAGAUAGUGACGAUAGCCAUCUAGAAAGCACCGGCUAACUACGUGCCAGCAGCCGCGGUAAUACGUAGGGUGCGAGCGUUGUUCGGAAUUAUUGGGCGUAAAGCGAACGUAGGCGGUUUAAUAAGCUAGAUGUGAAAGACCUAAGCUUAACUUAGGACGUGCAUCUAGAACUAUUAGACUAGAGUGUGUUAUGGGAGUGCGGAAUUUCUAGUGUAGCGGUGAAAUGCGUAGAUAUUAGAAGGAACACUCGUGGCGAAGGCGGCACUCUGGGGCGACACUGACGCUGAUGUUCGAGAGCGUGGGUAGCGAACAGGAUUAGAUACCCUGGUAGUCCACGCUGUAAACGAUGAGGGCUACCUGUUUGUUGCGUUGACGCGAUGAGUGGGAGAGCUAACGCAUUAAGCCCUCCGCCUGGGGAGUACGGUCGCAAGAUUAAAAACUCAAAAGGAAUUGACGGGGGCCCGCACAAGCGGUGGAGCAUGUGGUUUAAUUCGAUGCAAACGCGAAGAACCUUACCUAGGCUUGACAUCCUGAUGACGUUAAUUGGAGACAAAUUAAUUCCCUUUUGGGCAUUGGAGACAGGUGCUGCAUGGUUGUCGUCAGCUCGUGCCGUGAGGUGUUGGGUUAAGUCCCGCAACGAGCGCAAACCCUUGCCUACAUUUGCCAUCAUUUAGUUGGGGACUAUGUAGGGACUGUCGGUGCAAACCGGAGGAAGGUGAGGAUGACGUCAAAUCAUCAUGGCCUUUAUGCCUAGGGCUACACACGUGCUACAAUGGUAAGGACAAAGAGCGGCGAGGGUGCGAGUCUGAGCGAAAUCUCAAAAACCUUAUCUCAGUUCGGAUUGGAGUCUGCAACUCGACUCCAUGAAGGUGGAAUCGCUAGUAAUCGUGGAUCAGCAUGCCACGGUGAAAUACGUUCCCGGGCCU